GUAAAAACCCAAAAAUUUAGUAAUUAUUUGUUUUAAAGCAAAAUAAUUGAAUUUAUUGCGUGAAAUAGUCAACAAAAUUGGUUAUCAAUAAAAUUUCAACGCAUUUUUCGACUAUUUUAAUAAUAAUUUUGUUAAAUUUGAUGUAAUUUUCAGCAAAAAGACGUUUUUGGUUAAUGGCGGCGACUUUUUCUGCUUUUUUGGUUUGAAACGAAUUAGUAUUGGCACAUAAGUCUUUAUAGUUUAUAUUGUGCUAGAGUAGGACAGAAAAUAUUUGCGUCCUAUGUUCAUUAGUAAUGUGCUUUAAUUCAAUUUUCAAUCGCCUUUGAGUUCCGAUGGCCCAGUCACGUGCUAAAUUAGAAAUCGAAUUUGAUUCGUUUCGUCAGUCGACUCCCAAUUUAAAAUAAAACAAAUAAUGACACCCCUUCCCCUUGAUAAUGUAAUUUAUUUUGCAGAUUUAUAUCAUCUUCAACAUUAACCUGAGUGUUGCAACGCGUGAAAUACCGGUAUGGUAUUAUUAAGUGUUUGUGGCGCAACCGUCGGUCGGACUUGAAGUUUCAAGUGGCAUACACAGAAUGUUCGCGCCGUGAUUGAUAUAGACAGGAUCGGCUUUAUUUUGAAGUGUCAGUUACCAGAGUAGUACGUGCCGUGCUCUUAACCGCCCCAUUCUACCACCCCCCACCGUCCCACAAAUAUUACCAAACAA